rnacentral:lncRNA from 1 species
AUGGUGGUAGAGCAUGGUACCCCUGUAGCUCAGUUGUUGGUAGAGCAUGGUGCCCCUGUAGCUCAGCUGGUGGUAGAGCAUGGUGCCCCUGUAGCCCAGUUAGUGGUAGAGCAUGGUGCUCCUGUAGCCCAGUUGGUGGUAGAGGAUGGUGUCCCGGUAGCUCAGUUGGUAGAGCAUGGUGCCCCUGUAGCUCAGUUGUUAGAGCAUGGUGCCCCUGUAGCUCAGUUGGUAGAGCAUGGUGCCCCUGUAGCUCAGUUGGUAGAGCAUGGUGCCCCCGUAGCUCAGUUGGUAGAGCAUGGUGCCCCUGUAGCUCAGUUGGUAGAGCAUGGUGCCCCUGUAGCUCAGUUGGUAGAGCAUGGUGCCCCUGUAGCUCAGUUGGUAGAGCAUGGUGCCCCUGUAGCUCAGAUGGUGGUAGAGCAUGGUGCCCCUGUAGCUCAGAUGGUGGUAGAGCAUGGUGCCCCUGCAGCUCAGAUGGUGGUAGAGCAUGGUGCCCCUGCAGCUCAGAUGGUGGUAGAGCAUGGUGCCCCUGCAGCUCAGAUGGUGGUAGAGCAUGGUGCCCCUGCAGCUCAGAUGGUGGUAGAGCAUGGUGCCCCUGUUGCCCAGUUGGUGGUAGAGCAUGGUGCCCCUGUAGCCCAGUUAGUGAUAGAGCAUGGUGCUCCUGUAGCCCAGUUGGUAGAGCAUAGUGCUCCUGUAGCUCAGAUGGUGGUAGAGCAUGGUACCCCUGUAGCUCAGUUGUUGGUAGAGCAUGGUGCCCCUGUAGCUCAGUUGGUGGUAGAGCAUGGUGCCCCUGUAGCCCAGUUAGUGGUAGAGCAUGGUGCUCCUGUAGCCCAGUUGGUGGUAGAGGAUGGUGUCCCGGUAGCUCAGUUGGUAGAGCAUGGUGCCCCUGUAGCUCAGUUGGUAGAGCAUGGUGCCCCUGUAGCUCAGUUGUUAGAGCAUGGUGCCCCUGUAGCUCAGUUGUUAGAGCAUGGUGCUCCUGUAGCUCAGUUGGUAGAGCAUGGUGCUCCUGUAGCUCAGUUGGUAGAGCAUGGUGCUCCUGUAGCUCAGUUGGUAGAGCAUGGUGCCCCUGUAGCUCAGUUGGUAGAGCAUGGUGCCCCUGUAGCUCAGUUGGUAGAGCAUGGUGCCCCUGUAGCUCAGAUGGUGGUAGAGCAUGGUGCCCCUGCAGCUCAGAUGGUGGUAGAGCAUGGUGCCCCUGCAGCUCAGAUGGUGGUAGAGCAUGGUGCCCCUGCAGCUCAGGUGGUGGUAGAGCAUGGUGCCCCUGCAGCUCAGGUGGUGGUAGAGCAUGGUGCCCCUGUAGCUCAGGUGGUGGUAGAGCAUGGUGCUUGA